CUACGGGGUGCAGCAGUGAGGAAUUUUGCGCAAUGGGCGAAAGCCUGACGCGGCAACGCCGCGUGAGUGAUGAAGGCCUUCGGGUCGUAAAGCUCUGUCAAGUGGGAAGAACCUAUGUAAUGUUAAUAUCAUUAUAUACUGACGGUACCACUGAAGGAAGCACCGGCUAACUCCGUGCCAGCAGCCGCGGUAAUACGGGGGGUGCAAGCGUUAUUCGGAAUCAUUGGGCGUAAAGGGCACGUAGGCGGCCUGGUAAGUCAGAUGUGAAAGCCCGGGGCUUAACCCCGGAAGUGCAUUUGAUACUGUCAGGCUUGAGUAUGGGAGAGGGAAGUGGAAUUCCUGGUGUAGAGGUGAAAUUCGUAGAUAUCAGGAGGAACACCGGUGGCGAAGGCGACUUCCCGGACCAAUACUGACGCUGAGGUGCGAAGGCGUGGGUAGCAAACAGGAUUAGAUACCAGUAGUC
rnacentral:rRNA from 1 species